GGCAGCGGCGUCGCUGUCAUCUCAUUGUCCUGCGGGGCUCUCAGGACCUCUAGAGUUCGCCGUGAGCUGCAGAAACUGCUCCAGGUGGCUGCGAUGGCUGGAACUGGAUCAAUCCGAAGCCAGGAGCCAGGAGCUUCUUCCAGGUGUCCCACACAGGUGCAGGGGCCCAAGGACUUGGGCCAUCUACUACUGCUUUCCCAGGUCAUAGCAGGGAGCUGGAUCGCAAGUGGAGCAGGCGGGACUCGAACCAACGCCCAAAUAGGACGCCCGGUAAUAACAUUUUACCCAGUAAUCUCGUUACCCUCACUUGUCAGUUGUAUGUAGUUCAGGAUUACAUUGAUUAUCUGUAUGUAAUGGAUAUCACCUGGGUAUAUGGACAGAGUUUCUGGUUUGUUUAAAGCUUGAUGCUUGUUUGUUUUUGUUUGAUUUCCCUGUUAGAAAUGGAGAGAAGACAGCAGGCAUGUCUGGGUCUGUUCCCAGGGGAAAAGCUUUCCCUGAUCCUGUGUUAAGUGGUUUGUUGUAGGUCCAUUUUAGACUAUCUUGAUCACAUACAGCAAAUCACUGUUUUUUGCAAUUUUUCUAAAAGAUUUUUUAUGUUUGGAUACUGAAUUUAAUUAAAUGCUUUUUAACACUUAAUCUAAAUGGUUAUGUAAUUGCCUCACAUUUUCUACCUACCUGGAUGUUUUACAGGGUUUGUUUGAGAAUGCUGAAUGUUCUUCACAUUUUAGUGUGUCUCAGUUGUUAUAGACAUAUUAUGUUUUCCUGUAUGGUUGAAUUCACAUAAUAAUAAUUUGCUUAGGAUAUCAUCUGUUUAUGAAACAGAUGCUGUUUAUUUUCAUUUUUAGUAUGUUCUCUGAUGUUUGCAUCAUAUACACAGCACUGGCUUCCCAAAAGAAAUUGAAAUAUAUCCUCUGUUUAGUUCCAGUUGGAGCUUGUUUGCUUGUUUGGGAAAUUUAAGGUUUUUUAUUGAAAGUUUGGAAUAUUCCAUGUAUAUGGGCCUAAAACUUUACUUGUGGAACGUUUUUCUUGGUUGAUUUGGCUCCUUAAAAUUGUUUCAACUUAUUAAAUUAUGUAGUAGCUUUUCUAUUUCAUCUGAUAUUUGUGUUUUGGGAAACUGAUUUUCAGAAUGUAGCAGAUAUUUUCCUCUGGAGUCAAAUUUUUACUUCUAUAAAUUUAGCAAAAUCCUCUUAGUAACUUAGUAAGUUCUGUAAGCUCUAUAAAGAAUGCUUCUAUAUUAAUUUCCUGAAAUUAGUUAUUAUUUAUUUUAUUAACAUUCUUAAAGAUUUAUUUAUUUAUUUGAAAGUCAGAGUUACACAGAGAGAGGAAAAGCAGAGAGAGUGGUCUUCCAUCUGAUGGUUCACUCCGCAGUUGGCUGCAACAGCCAGAGCUGUGCCAACCUGAAGCCAGGACCUUCUUCUGGGGUUCCCAAGUGGGUGUAGGGGCCCCAGGACUUGGGCCAUCUUCCACUGCUUUCUCAGGCCAUAGCAGAGAGCUGUAUUGGAAGAGGAGCAGCCAGGACUAGAACCGGUGCCCAUAUGGGAUGCCGUCACUUCAGGCCAAGACAUUAACCUGCUGUGCCACAGCGCCGGCCCCUAUUUUCGUAAGUUUUAAAAUAUAUUUUCCUUAUAUGUUUCUGU